AGAGUUUGAUCCUGGCUCAGAACGAACGCUGGCGGCAUGCCUAACACAUGCAAGUCGAACGAAGGCUUCGGCCUUAGUGGCGCAUGGGUGCGUAACGCGUGGGAAUCUGCCCUUGGGUUCGGAAUAACAGUGGGAAAUUACUGCUAAUACCGGAUGAUGACUUCGGUCCAAAGAUUUAUCGCCCAAGGAUGAGCCCGCGUAAGAUUAGCUUGUUGGUAGGGUAAAGGCCUACCAAGGCGACGAUCCGUAGCUGUUCUGAGAGGAAGAUCAGCCACACUGGGACUGAGAUACGGCCCAGACUCCUACGGGAGGCAGCAGUGGGGAAUAUUGGACAAUGGGCGAAAGCCUGAUCCAGCAAUGCCGCGUGUGUGAAGAAGGCCUUAGGGUUGUAAAGCUCUUUCGUCGGGGAAGAAAAUGACUGUACCCGAAUAAGAAGGUCCGGCUAACUUCGUGCCAGCAGCCGCGGUAU
rnacentral:rRNA from 1 species